ensembl:lncRNA
UUCCAGGAGAGAGGCCUGGAAAUCUAUAUUUUAAGAGAAGUCCCCACAGGUGAUUCCUAUGACCAGGCCUGUUUAGAAAACCUUGAGCUAGUGGAUAAUCAAAGGGCAGUAAACAGAGGGGGCAUUCUGAAACUAGAUAAUCUGGUUUUCAAAAUAUGAUCAUCUAGCAUUCUGGCUCUGGAAAGGUGAAGCUUGCUCACUUUUGGUGAAAACUUACUGCAGGGGUGCUGCCUCCCCAAGACUGUGUCUGCGGCCACACCCAUGUGACAGACCAGCCCUCUUAAACCCUCUGUAGUCAGGAGGGCCCUCAAUGUGAAGGACAGACCUCAGUAUGAGUCCCAGAGAGCUGGCGCUGCCCUGACAGAGGCCUCAGCCCUUCUCUAUGGCUCUUCCUCUUCGGUGAAGUCAUCCUGUUCCUACUGUGUGCGGGAAAUGCUCCAAACGUGAUGGUAUCUCUAAUCUCCACAGCAUCUCCAAGGAAGUGAGCACUGUCUCCAUUUUUUUAGAUAUGGCUCAGAGACAUAAAGGAGUUUGUUCAAGGUCACGUACCUAAUGUGUGACUAAGCAUGGAUUCAAACCCAUGUGAUUACAAAGCUGUGACACAUUCCACUCUACAACUCUGUCUCUCAAAGAUGACUUCAUCUCCCCAGUUGUAGCUCACCAGACUAUUUUGCUUGCUGCUAAGUUUUCCCAGCUAUACCCAGGAAUUUCAGAACUACAGCUCCAAAAUACCUGGAACCAUCCAGGCUGAAGGAAUCCAGGGAGAGUAUCCAGGGAGCUUUGGGAAUAGAGUUCAGAGAGAAGAAAAGGGGAUGAUGAGAGCACCCAGCUUUGAGCACAGAUGGCCACACUUCCCCAUCCACCCCCAUCACCACAUCCUCCUAGAACUGAAGGAAGCCGGAAGAGGAUAUCACCUUAUUUCGGGUCAGCAGGAAAGAUGUUGACCUCUGGGAGGGACAUAGCUGGGGAGGGGUUAUAGGAAGGGGAAAAAUGGGACACGUCAUCCCUUCCUCAGCAGAAACGAAAAACGGAAAACUUUCCAGCCAUGUCAGCUGCAAUGGCGUACCAUACAGCCAUGAACAUGAAUGAGCUACUGCUACCUUGGGCUUAAAUUUCACAAAUAAAACACUGAGUGAGAAAAGCUAGACACAAAAUAGUACCAACUGAAUGGUUUCAUUUAUAUGAAGUUCAAAAGCAGGCACAUCUCUACUCCAAAACUCAUCCGGGGGUCUGGAGUCACGCUCGAAUGCACCCCUGAGCCACUUUCCG